rnacentral:rRNA from 1 species
GACGAACGCUGGCGGCGUGCCUAAUACAUGCAAGUCGAGCGCAGGAAACUGACGGAACUCUUCGGAGGGAAGGCAGUGGAAUGAGCGGCGGACGGGUGAGUAACACGUAAGGAACCUGCCUCAAGGAUUGGGAUAACUCCGAGAAAUCGGAGCUAAUACCGGAUAGUUCAACGGACCGCAUGGUCCGCUGAUGAAAGGCGCUUCGGCGUCACCUUGAGAUGGCCUUGCGGUGCAUUAGCUAGUUGGUGGGGUAACGGCCCACCAAGGCGACGAUGGAUAGCCGACCUGAGAGGGUGAUCGGCCACACUGGGACUGAGACACGGCCCAGACUCCUACGGGAGGCAGCAGUAGGGAAUCUUCCACAAUGGACGAAGGUAUGAUGGAGCAACGCCGCGUGAGUGAUGAAGGUUUUCGGAUCGUAAAACUCUGUUGUAAGGGAAGAACACGUACGAGAGGGAAUGCUCGUACCUUGACGGUACCUUACGAGAAAGCCACGGCUAACUACGUGCCAGCCGCCGCAGUAA